CCUACGGGUGGCAGCAGUGGGGAAUAUUGGGCAAUGGGCGCAAGCCUGACCCAGCAAUGCCGCGUGAAGGAAGAAGGCUUUCGGGUUGGAAACUUCUUUUACAGGGGAAGAGCAGAAGACGGUACCCUGAAAACAGGCCACGGCUAACUACGUGCCAGCAGCCGCGGUAAUACGGAGGUGGCAAGCGUUGUCCGGAUUUACUGGGUGUAAAGGGCGUGUAGCCGGGAAGGCAAGUCAGAUGUGAAAUCUGGAGGCUCAACCUCCAAAUUGCAUUUGAAACUGUUUUUCUUGAGUACUGGAGAGGCAGACGGAAUUCCUUGUGUAGCGGUGAAAUGCGUAGAUAUAAGGAGGAACACCAGUGGCGAAGGCGGUCUGCUGGACAGCAACUGACGGUGAGGCGCGAAAGCGUGGGGAGCAAACAGGAUUAGAUACCCCAGUAGUC
rnacentral:rRNA from 1 species